rnacentral:rRNA from 1 species
GACGAACGCUGGCGGCGUGCUUAACACAUGCAAGUCGAGCGGUAAGGCCCUUUCGGGGGUACACGAGCGGCGAACGGGUGAGUAACACGUGGGUGACCUGCCCUUAGCUCUGGGAUAAGCCUGGGAAACGUGGGUCUAAUACCGGAUAUGACUCCAUGACGCAUGUUGGUGGGGUGGAAAGCCUUGUGCGGCUAGGGAGUCGGGCCCGCGGCCUAUCAGCUUGUUGGGUGGGGUGAUGGCCUACCAAGGCGACGACGGGUAG